AUGUGUUUAAAGAAAAUGGACACAGUUUAAAAUACAAAAUAAAACAAACUUAUUUGUCAAAUUUGGAGUUGAAACUCUUAGCCAACUCUAAGUUUUAUGACAUUUGAAAGUGUAAAUUCUCUGUGAUAAGCAAAAAUCCGGUUUUCAGUUUCAAAUUCCCGGCAUGAUUUGGUUUUUACUACUCAUUUUAGUCCCACUCCAGAAUAUGUUUAUCUUUGUCUUGUUUAAUUCAUACACCUUUACAGAAUUAAGUGACGCACAUAAACAAUAAAUCCCCAAAUUGUCAAAAAUACUUAUCUAAUAUCCUGGCAGUAAAUAACAUACAAAGCGUCAUUUUGCGUGAAUUUGAUUAGAUUCCUUCAUUCACAACAUGCACAAUGUACUGAUCUGAAAGUGAAAGUGAAAACGGCUGGAAAUCGUAAACAAACCUUUAGAGCAUGCCAACCCGGGAGUUCGAGCAGUUGUCAAGGCAAGAAUCUUCUUAAAUCUAGAUGAAGUAUCAAAAAAUUACCGCUGGUUUCAAACUUCGUCAAAAUAACGAUGCAGACCCGCUCAACUUGAUUUGAAAUGAUUGGCUAUUCAACCGAAUACACAGUGCCAUAUUUGGGAGGGUUACUGUUCAGAGUAGGUCGUUCGUUUUACAUUGGAGAAGUUUACAUAUUACGUGAAUGAAGAGGAUAACAUAAUACUGAGCUGACAACGGUGUGUAAAGUAUUUUUUCAGUGUAGUUUCGAUACAGGCUGUAAAUGUGCUGGAGAUUUUAUUGAUGUUGAAGCUUGAAAACAAAACCAAUAAACGUAGGACUUAUUCACGGCAAUGUAUGGGAACCAGAGCAGGGAACCAGUCUAGAAUGCAAAGAAAAUUCCGCCAAGUAAACAAAGAAAGAGCUUUGGGGUGUUGUCAGCUGUAUACAUUUUGUACGACGGUGACUGCAAGUUGCAAGGAAUGUGGAUCUAAUGCAUGCUGCUAAGGAUGGAAAGGUCUUGUGUUUAUUGGUCAUGCCUGAGACUGUGAGACACCAGUCACAGUUGUACCUCAUUCCAUUUUAGAUGUUGUGAUGAAGAUAGUUGAAAGAGAUUAUCAACAUAGAACCAGUCCAUAUAAAUGUGCAAGUCAGGACUUGUACAGCACCUGAGUACCCAGAUGACUGUUGAACUAAUUGGUGAACAAGAAGUUGUCAGAGAGGGGAAUCCAAUACAGUUGUCAAGAAUAUAUACUUUUAUCAAUGAUAUGAUCAAAAAUUUGUAAACUUGUAGUGAUUUAGAAUAUAUUAUCUGUAAUAUAACUCUUCAUUACUUAAUUGUUCACACGUUAUCAUCUUAUUUGUAUAUUAAUCGCCCCCUCUUAUAUAACUCCCUGCUGAUCCUAAUGACUGUGUAUUGACUCUUGAUCUUAAGGAUCUUAUAAUGUGCUCCUGAUCGUCAGGAGCAGAUCUUGAAUAUAUCUAUAGUGCAACAGAAUUUUAGAAUAAGAUAAGAUGAUGGAAAUAUAGAAGACUUAGUAGAUAGAAAUGUUAGAGAUAGAUAAAGCUACAUACUUACUUGAGAUAUUACCUUAUAUUUCUCGGAUUUAUAUGUACACGUGAAUAUUUUACUUGAAUUUUAUUUUUUGUGAAUUAUUUUUCCUGAUUUUUCUAUUUGUGAUGUGCUGUGUAAAUAAACUGUAGACUAGAGUUUCGGGAUCUGUUUUCAAGAUAUGAGGAACAAGGAUAAAUUGAUUUAUAAAUGCAAACUGACAUUAUGAAAUGUGUUGUAAGACUGCCCGGUGGGGCGCUACAAGCUAACUAGGAAAUAUCUUAGAGAUUUAUAGAUGAACAUGCAAGCAUUCAUAAUUUUGUAUGUUAUUCAGCCAGAGAGUUUUUGCACAAAUUCAAUUUUCAGUACAGUAAUUUAAACUGGAUGUGUAAUUUUCAGUACAGUUAUGUAAAAUGAAUAUGUUACUUAUUAUGAUUGUCAGUUUCUCAACAGGACAUAAUUGUAGUUUAUUUAUAUGCAGAUUUGCAGAACAAAACACACAGAACUUUUUUUCUCUUUGUGCAUCAUACACUUGUAAACCUUUUACACCACCAUGAUUACAUAUUUAACAUAUUUAUUUUGUCGACGUGUAAAAUUAGCACACACAUGAAAAGCGUACGCGUAUAGCUUGAUACAUACACAAAUACACAUGCAUCUGCAAAACCUAUUACAUAUUUUCCAAGGUGUGUGAAGUCGAGCACAUACAUGAAAAUGUGUGAAGCUGGACACAUACACAAAUACACAUGCAUCUGCCACAACCUAUUACAUAUUUUCCAAGGUGUGUGAAGUCGAGCACAUACAUGAAAAUGUGUGAAGCUGGACAAAUACACAUGCA